rnacentral:rRNA from 1 species
UUACGGGAGGCAGCAGUGAGGAAUAUUGGGCAAUAGGGGCAACCCUGACCCAGCCAUGCCGCGUGAAGGAUGAAUGCCCUAUGGGUUGUAAACUUCUUUUGUACGGGACGAAUCCCCUUUACGUGUAGAGGGUUGACGGUACUGUACGAAUUAGCAUCGGCUAACUCCGUGCCAGCAGCCGCGGUAAUACGGAGGAUGCAAGCGUUAUCCGGAUUCAUUGGGUUUAAAGGGUGCGCAGGCGGAAUGAUAAGUCAGCGGUGAAAGCCUGCAGCUUAACUGUAGAAAUGCCAUUGAUACUGUCGUUCUUGAAUGCAGCUGAGGUAAGCGGAAUGUGUCAUGUAGCGGUGAAAUGCGUAGAUAUUACACAGAACGCCAAUUGCGUAGGCAGCUUACUAAACUGUGAUUGACGCUGAGGCACGAAAGCGUGGGGAUCAAACAGGAUUAGAUACCCCUGUAGUCU